rnacentral:rRNA from 1 species
CUGGAGGUAUCAGAAGUGCGAAUGCUGACAUAAGUAACGAUAAAGCGGGUGAAAAGCCCGCUCGCCGGAAGACCAAGGGUUCCUGUCCAACGUUAAUCGGGGCAGGGUGAGUCGACCCCUAAGGCGAGGCCGAAAGGCGUAGUCGAUGGGAAACAGGUUAAUAUUCCUGUACUUGGUGUUACUGCGAAGGGGGGACGGAGAAGGCUAUGUUGGCCGGGCGACGGUUGUCCCGGUUUAAGCGUGUAGGCUGGUUUUCCAGGCAAAUCCGGAAAAUCAAGGCUGAGGCGUGAUGACGAGGCACUACGGUGCUGAAGCAACAAAUGCCCUGCUUCCAGGAAAAGCCUCUAAGCAUCAGGUAACAUCAAAUCGUACCCCAAACCGACACAGGUGGUCAGGUAGAGAAUACCAAGGCGCUUGAGAGAACUCGGGUGAAGGAACUAGGCAAAAUGGUGCCGUAACUUCGGGAGAAGGCACGCUGAUAUGUAGGUGAAGCGACUUGCUCGUGGAGCUGAAAUCAGUCGAAGAUACCAGCUGGCUGCAACUGUUUAUUAAAAACACAGCACUGUGCAAACACGAAAGUGGACGUAUACGGUGUGACGCCUGCCCGGUGCCGGAAGGUUAAUUGAUGGGGUCAGCGCAAGCGAAGCUCUUGAUCGAAGCCCCGGUAAACGGCGGCCGUAACUAUAACGGUCCUAAGGUAGCGAAAUUCCUUGUCGGGUAAGUUCCGACCUGCACGAAUGGCGUAAUGAUGGCCAGGCUGUCUCCACCCGAGACUCAGUGAAAUUGAACUCGCUGUGAAGAUGCAGUGUACCCGCGGCAAGACGGAAAGACCCCGUGAACCUUUACUAUAGCUUGACACUGAACAUUGAGCCUUGAUGUGUAGGAUAGGUGGGAGGCUUUGAAGUGUGGACGCCAGUCUGCAUGGAGCCGACCUUGAAAUACCACCCUUUAAUGUUUGAUGUUCUAACGUUGACCCGUGAUCCGGGUUGCGGACAGUGUCUGGUGGGUAGUUUGACUGGGGCGGUCUCCUCCUAAAGAGUAACGGAGGAGCACGAAGGUUGGCUAAUCCUGGUCGGACAUCAGGAGGUUAGUGCAAUGGCAUAAGCCAGCUUGACUGCGAGCGUGACGGCGCGAGCAGGUGCGAAAGCAGGUCAUAGUGAUCCGGUGGUUCUGAAUGGAAGGGCCAUCGCUCAACGGAUAAAAGGUACUCCGGGGAUAACAGGCUGAUACCGCCCAAGAGUUCAUAUCGACGGCGGUGUUUGGCACCUCGAUGUCGGCUCAUCACAUCCUGGGGCUGAAGUAGGUCCCAAGGGUAUGGCUGUUCGCCAUUUAAAGUGGUACGCGAGCUGGGUUUAGAACGUCGUGAGACAGUUCGGUCCCUAUCUGCCGUGGGCGCUGGAGAACUGAGGGGGGCUGCUCCUAGUACGAGAGGACCGGAGUGGACGCAUCACUGGUGUUCGGGUUGUCAUGCCAAUGGCACUGCCCGGUAGCUAAAUGCGGAAGAGAUAAGUGCUGAAAGCAUCUAAGCACGAAACUUGCCCCGAGAUGAGUUCUCCCUGACUCCUUGAGAGUCCUGAAGGAACGUUGAAGACGACGACGUUGAUAGGCCGGGUGUGUAAGCGCAGCGAUGCGUUGAGCUAACCGGUACUAAUGAACCGUGAGG